UACCAGCACCCCGAGUGGUCGGGACGAUUAUUGGGCCUAAAGCAUCCGUAGCCGGUCCUGCAAGUCUUCCGUUAAAUCCAGCUGCUCAACAGAUGGGCUGCGGGGGAUACUACAGGGCUAGGAGGCGGGAGAGGCAAGCGGUACUUUAUGGGUAGGGGUAAAAUCCGUUGAUCCAUAGAAGACCACCAGUGGCGAAGGCGGCUGCCUGGCCCAAUACUGACACUCAGGUGCGACAGCGUGGGGAGCAAACAGG
rnacentral:rRNA from 1 species